rnacentral:rRNA from 1 species
AUUAGCAAUAGUCAUAGUGGCGCACGGGUGAGUAACACGUAGCUUAUCUGCCCUCAAGAGCGGGAUAACUCAGCGAAAGCUGAGCUAAUACCGCAUAAGCUCACAUCGAAUAGGUAGAGGUGAGAAAAGGUGAAAACCGCUUGAGGAUGAGGUUGCGACCCAUCAGCUAGUUGGAGUGGUAAAAGCACACCAAGGCAACGACGGGUAGGGGGCCUGAGAGGGUGACCCCCCACACUGGGACUGAGACACGGCCCAGACUCCUACGGGAGGCAGCAGUGAGGAAUAUUGGUCAAUGGGCGAAAGCCUGAACCAGCGACGCCGCGUGGGCGAUGAAGGUCUUCGGAUCGUAAAGCCCUUUUUUGAGUGACGAGUAAGGACGGUAGCUCAAGAAAAAGUGUCGGCUAACUACGUGCCAGCAGCCGCGGUAAAACGUAGGACGCAAGCGUUAUCCGGAAUUACUGGGCGUAAAGCGCGCGCAGGCGGUUCGAUAAGUCACCUGUGAAAGCUCAUGGCUAAACUGUGAGAGGUGAGGUGAUACUAUCGGACUAGAGAUUGCUAGAGGUAUGUGGAAUUCCGCGUGUAGUGGUGAAAUGCGUAGAGAUGCGGAGGAACACCAGUGGCGAAGGCGGCAUACUGGGGCAAUACUGACGCUGAGGCGCGAAAGCAUGGGUAGCGAACGGGAUUAGAAACCCCGGUAGUCCAUGCCGUAAACGAUGUACACUAAACGUUCAGUCCUGGAAACAAGACGGGGUGUUGAAGCAAACGCGAUAAGUGUACCGCCUGGGGAGUACGGUCG